CACUGAGGCCGGCAACAAUCCUUUUGGGCCAUUUCUGCCAGGUGCAUGGAGCAUUAGUCUGCCCCAUUCCUGCUGGCAUGCAGUUCCCUGCACAGUGACAUCUCACCUUACAUCAGGCACCUCACUGAUGAUGCUCAAUGACCUCACAAUCCAGACACCUGGUUUAAAGCCAUCUCCUCGCUCACAGCAGAAACGGGCAGGGCAAGGAAAGCCCUGGGUUGGCUUGUUCCUGGGUUGAGACACCAGGAGUUUUGGAAGGGUGACCAGCGCUGGAGUCUUUCUGUCCUGACUGAUGUGACCACCAGCCCAUUGAUGGUUUGCAGGCAGCACCCCCAGCAAUUGUCCGGACCCUGCUGCUAAAGCCGUGUGUGACACUCCCUCACCCCGCACUGGCUCUGAGCCUGGGCCUGCAACAAGGAAUCUCUGGGCCUAGCUAUGCGGUCGAGGGCUGAAUUGAAGGACCUGCUCUCUCCCCGGCUCCUUCCUUGCAGAAUAUAACCUUGUGCAGGGGCUGCAGCCACAACAGGUUCCUUUGGGAAAGGUGCCUUUGGGUUUACCAUGGUGCUCCACAGACCAGCAGCCCUGCCAGCAGCAGAGCCCAGAGGCAGCACGAUGGAAAAGAGCCACUGCUAGUCUUGUUGCCUGAAGCAUUGGAACUGGAGCACCGUUACUACUGGAGACAGGGACCGGGAGCUAUUGGCACUGGGAGCUGGACGGGGUUCUGAGCAAUGGAAGACUCACCAGAGUCGUCAGCAGAGGAGCCUAUGGAAGAGACAGCAGGGGAGCCGUUCGCAGGGCCCAUGGAGGAGGCGCUCCCUUGCCUGACUCACGUCUACACACUGUAUAUUGGAAACCUGAACCCCAAGUACUCGCGGGAGGUUCUCUGCAGCAUGCUGAAGGACAUUCUGGGCACCGCCAGCCUCCCCCUGCAGCGGCACGACAUAGAAGUGGUGAAGAAACCGAGACGGGCCUACGCCUUGGUGCAGGUGGCCACUGAGCUGAGCCUGGAGAACGUCCUGAAGCAGCUCCAGGUUGCCUCAGACAUGGAGCAACAUCUCCUCAGGGAGCUAGUGAUGAAAGGGAAAACCCUGGUGGUGGGGGAAGGCAGGAGAGCCUCACCCAGUGCUAAGGAGUGCCAAGAGAGUGACACACAGAUGAAUGGUGCCAGCGCCCCAGACUCUCCCGUGCUGGGGCAUUUGCAGUCUGGCAAGAGCAGGCUGUGGGGGUCCGAGGAAGCCCAGCCCAGCCCUUGUUGGAAGGGUCCCCCUCGAGCCCGGAAGCUGGUGGAGUGGCCGGCAGUGUUUCUUAGCGGCACCAGGUCAGACAGCGCCAUCGUUCAGAGGGAGAUCGUGGGCCAGGAGCGCCUGUUCUAUGGCGCUUUCAUGGGGAGCGAGACCAGGAACGUGGAGUUCAAGCGGGGUGGAGGGGAAUACCUGAGUGGGACCCUCAAACACCACGUCCGGAAGUAUGUGUGCGCCUUCCUCAACAGCGAAGGGGGCAGCCUCUUCGUGGGGGUGGAGGACAGCGGCUUCGUGCAUGGGGUCAGGUGUGGGCACAAAGAGGAGGACCGCAUCCGCCUGCUCAUCGACUCCAUUCUGAAAGGGUUCAAGCCGCAGGUGUUCCCCGAUGCCUAUACCCUGACCUUCAUCCCUGUGGUCAAAGCAGAAGACACUGGCAUCUUCCUGAAGGUGAUCCGGCUAAGCGUUCAUCUGCCCAGGCAGCAGGGGGAGCUGCUGCUUUAUGAAACGGACCAGGGGGAAGUGUACCUGCGCCGGGACGGCAGCAUCCAGGGACCACUCUCUGGGAGCGCCAUCCAGGAGUGGUGCAGGCAGAAAUGGACAGGAGAAGUGAGGAAGCUGGAAGAGCGGAUAGAGAGUUUGAUGAAGGAGAAGGAGAGCCUGCAGCAACAAAUCAACCAGCAGCGGAGCCCGAAUCCCAACUCUAGAUUCUGCACCAUCCUGAAAUAGCUUGAAUUUUCCCUUCUGUUCCUCGAACGCCAAACCCACCUGGAACCAGGACUCCACUGUACAAGGGAAGGGGAAAAAGAAAAAAAAGAUCCAGCUACACGAGACUUGCAGUUUUCUAUACCCUCCAAACAAGUAUUGCAGCUCUUCUGCUUUAAGACCUUGGAGUUACAAGACCUGACCAAUUCAUUUUACUACCAAGAUUUCUUUGAAUAUAACUGCAUGCACAGUAGUGAAAAGCCUUAAGUUUCAGAUGAAAGAUGGCAGACAUUUCAGUACUCCAAGACUGUUCAUGAAGUUCAGAUAUGUUCCAAGAGGCUUACAGAGACAGUCAGUUUCCAGCUGGUGUCAAGAUCACAGUGGAAUACUAGGGCAGAGUACCAUGAAGCUUGACAGUGCCACCAAGUUAAGUCAGACUACCCUACAAAGAACUGGUUAUAGUAAUGGCUAGAGGAAAUUCAAAAUGAACGCUGGCCUUCCCAACACCACCACUCAGGCUCAACACUGAACACCUAAAAAAACCAGACAGUGCACAUGUAUUAUAUAGAUCCUGUUCUGAAAGCGGGAGGUUGGUUUGCUAUUAAGUUGUAUGCAUGUAACAUAUGUUUGGACGCUGUAAUCCAAGGGGAAUGAGUUAUAAUAUUCCCGGCUGCUGAAUCAUUCUGAAAACUGUGAGGUGUAUCCUAGAUGUGUGCAAAACUGUAAGCAAGAACAAUCUGGUUAAGACACAAAUACUACUCCAGCUGAGAAGGGGGAAAAAAAGAGCAUACCUUUAUC